GCGAGAGUGGUGGAAUUGGUAGACACGCCGGUCUUAGGAGCCGGUGCUUUUCGCGUAAGGGUUCAAGUCCCUUCUCUCGCA
rnacentral:tRNA from 1 species